CACCGUAGGGUGGCGGAGUGCCCGGCAGGUCCCAGGCAGGCCGCCCUCCGGGAACGAGGCUGCGCUGUCUUUGGGGAGCCAGGCUGCCUCCCCACGUUGUAUAACCGGCUGCAAUACCGCAGCUCCGAAUUGCAGGAGUUCCCUCUGUCCCCGCUGUCCCCGGGGCUGGCCAGGCUCCCUCUAGUUUAGUCCAGACUCUGGGACUACACUCGUCCGUCUGUAAAGUAGGGGUUCCACUAGAUCAUUCGUUCAUUCAUUCAUUCCACGAACGCUCCUCGGCUUCUGCAGAGGAUGGCAGGAGGGGGAGGGGGCCAACAUUCUAGAGUCUCCGAUUAUAGUGGCUACCCUGAUUUUGAGGAAAACCCGUUUCCCACUCUGGAAGAAGAGUUGAAAUAAACUCUUCAGGCUGGAGGUGAAGCUGAAAUGGGAGCGUGUGGGUCCACAGCUUUGAAGGCGCUGGGGAGAGUGAGAGGCGUGGGGACGGCUCCCGCGGCAGGAGGUGGCAUUGCCGUUGGGGCUUUGAGGAUAAAUAGGAGUUCGCCAACGGGGAGACAUCCAGGCUGAGGCCACGAGACUUGCGCUGUAAGGUAGAGUGCAGCCAAAGCGCAUGGGGGGCAUUUGAGGGAACUGCCUCUUCUCCAAAUGGCCAGGAAGCCCAGCCUCUCCCUCUACCCCAAGUCCCGGCCCUUCAAAUCAUUCAUUCCACCCAGACUCACCUGUGGCUUCAGCUUUUGCUCCUCCUCCCAAUGGUGAGGUGGACAUUUUCCCCUUGAUCCCCCCAUCCCCCAAGACCUCCUCUCUCCCCACAAAAGCAUCAAAGCAAAGCACGCCCUCAUCGACGCCAACUCUCUUGGCCACCUUCUCUUCGUACAAACAGAGGUUUUAUUGCGUUUGGUCCACAGUCGUAUUUCACAUUAUCUCACGGAGCAGGUCCCCUGGGUGGGGGGUCCCUGUGCAGUACUUGGCGGGGCAUGUGGCCGGGGAAGAUGGAGCAGUAUAAGCUGGUCGGGCCCAGAAGGGAGGAGGGCUGGGGGCUCCUUAAAACCUACUGAGGGGCUGGGCACGGUGGCUCACACCUGUAAUCUCAGCGCUUGGGGAGGCGGAGGCGGGCGGAUCACACCUGAGGCCAGGAGUUCGAGACCAGCCUGGCCAACAUGGGGAAACCCCAUCUCUACUAAAAAUACAAAAAUUAGCCGGGCGUGGUGGAGCACCUGCAGUCCUAGCUACUCAGGAGGCUGAGGCUGGAGAAUCGCUUGAGCCCGGAAGGUGGAGGUGCAGUGAGCCAAGAUGGCGCCACUGCACUCCAGCCUGGGCAACAACCACAACUGAAAAAAAAAUCUACUGAGGCCAGAGUGGGUUGGGGCGGGGAGCAUGGAGAGGGGGUCAGGCUUAGCCCCAACAACUCAGAAUUUCACUUCCUUGUACGGCCCUCACUUUCUCCACCUGGCCCCGGGGCAGGUCUGAGGGUCUGAAGUCUGUUGGUCUGAAGGUCCUAGGCAAAUCCAGUCACUUGGGAGCCGGAGAUAUUUAACAUCACGGCCCGGUCCCCUUUCCCAGGGGACUCAUUUCCUAGCACUCUCUCCACUGUCCUUGCCCCACCCCUGGGGGAAAAAAUGUAUUUUUCUUUUGUGAAUACUUCCUGAAACUUGCGGGCAUAGAAACCACAAACUGCUCAGCUGACAAAAGGGGGAAGAGGCGAGGCAAGCAGAAACCGUCGGGGACCGGUUCCUUCCAAGCCCAGGUCUCUUCUUCCCAGCACAGCCUGAAUGUGCCAGCAGGGACCCUCGCCCUACACGUAUUGGGAUAUGGCCUUGACCCCUUCCCCCACAGCCCAGUGGCUCAGCCUUGCGAAGGAUCAAGGCAAAGGGGAAAAAAGCUCUGCUGCCUGAUCCCACGCUGACACUCACAGACCCUUGGUUGACUGGCAGCACUGAACGGGUUAAGAAAAAAAAAAAAAAGAAAAAAAAAA
rnacentral:lncRNA from 1 species